CUCUGUGACCCUCCCUAACGUCACCUCUGUGACCUCCCUAACGUCACCUCUGUGACUAUGUCUGCGUCCCAAAUGGAACAUUUUCCUCUAUAAAGGCCACAACUUUUGACCAGAGCCUUAUGGGUAAAUGCCAUUUGGGACGAUUCUCUUGUAUGUGUGCUUGUGACUGAUGGAUUGACUAGCAGAGACUGAGUCUGAGUACCACUGUCAGAUAAGUAUGUGUCAGAUAGUUACUGUGUUGAAUAGUGUAAUGUUCUGGUUACAUGUGUAACAUACAGGGUAUGUAGUGUCAGGUACUUGAUCAGAUGCUUAGCUAAGAAAGUGUGUGGGAUGCUACUGCCUCCACGUUGUUGUUGUUGUUGUUGAUGUUGUUGUUUUUAACCAAGUCGAACUGUUGCCAUGAUAUGCUAUUACUUGGUUACGCACCGGAAUCUGGCGUUUCUAUUGAAUUAUGCUCUUUUUCUAGAAAGGACCAUGACUGUUACCCUAGCAACCCAUCGAUGCUAUUUAGAGGGCGUUACAUGUAAUGAAAGAUUGAACGGUGUUGAGAAUAUGUUCAAAUUGAAGCAAUACAUCCUAGUAUUGUUGUUCUAUCAGCCAUAUUACCCUGCACUGUGACACCAGCUAGCCGAGGCAGCUCUGGAGGCUGUCCCCUGACCCCUGUCUCCUCCACUCUCCUGGAGGCUGACCCCUGACCCCUGUCUCCACUCUUCUGGAGGCUUACCCCUGUCUCCUGCACUCUCUUGGAGGCUGACCCCUGUCUCCUCCACUCUCCUGGAGGCUUACCCCUGUCUCCUCCACUCUCCUGGAGGCUGACCCCUGUCUCCUCCACUCUCCUGGAGGCUGACCCCUGUCUCCUCCACUCUCCUGGAGGCUGACCCCUGUCUCCUCCACUCUCCUGGAGGCUGACCCCUGAACCCUGUCUCCUCCACUCUUCUGAAGGCUUACCCCUGUCUCCUGCACUCUCCUGGAGGCUGACCCCUGACCUCUCCACUCUCCUGGAGGCUGACCCCUGUUUCCUCCAAUCUCCUUUAGGCUGACCCCUGUCUCCUCCACUCUCCUGGAGGCUGACCCCUGACCCCUCCACUCUCCUGGAUGGCUAACUCCUGACCCCCGUCUCCUCCACUCUCCUGGAGGCUGACUCCUGACCCCUGUCUCCUCCACUCUCCUGGAGGCUGACUCCUGACCCCUGUCUCCUCCACUCUCCUGGAGGCUGACUCCUGACCCCUGUCUCCUCCACUCUCCUGGAGGCUGAGCCCUGUCUCCUCCAAUCUCCUGGAGGCUGACCCCUGUCUCCUCCACUCUCCUGGAGGCUGACCCCUGUCUCCUCCAAUCUCCUGGAGGCUGACCCCUGUCUCCUCCACUCUCCUGGAGGCUGACCCCUCUCUCCUCCACUCUCCUGGAGGCUGACCCCUGACCCCUCCACUCUCCAGGACCAAGUAAAGCUUUAAGAGACAUCUCCUUUAGUGUAGUUCUAGUGUUGCUGCAGCCAGGCUUCCAGAAUUAGCGGCACAUUCCAAAUGACCUGAACAUUCCAGAUAUGAGCCUGGCGUUGUCCUCUGUCUGCCUCAAUAUCCCAGGUGGGGUUGUCAUACUGUAGGCGACAUAUAGAGAGAGAUAUGAGGUGAGAGAGUUGAUUGAUUCCAUGCUUUUGUAGUCUGAUUGUCAGUCUGUGUUUGACAGUUAAAGAACGAUUGGCUGAGUUUCUAUCCCUUUAUAAUGAAAAGGUCUUACUACCAUCUCUAACGAGGCUCAGCAGUUUUAGCCGAAUGCUUUCCAAAACAUCACAACGUGCCUGAACUUCUCUGUCUUUUUUUUUAUUACUAAAUGGAAUGUCAAUUGUUUCAAAUACCUUUUAAUCAUCAUGAACUUUUCCAUUGAGCUAACAAGCCUUUAUAAGUCAUUGUUUCCCCCAGUCUCAGUGAGUGUAGCGCUGAUGGACACUGUGUCUGCUGUUGGUGUGUUUUCAUGCCAUUUAGCAGAGGCUUUUAUUCAAACCACGAAGUGAUGUAUGCAUUCUUUAUGUGUGGAUGGUCACGGGAGUCAAACCCACUAUCCUGUUGUUGCAAGUGUCAUGCUCUACCAACUGACCUACAGAGGACCAGUGUAUUGUUAGGGAGUUUAGUCUGUAAGGGCAAAACCAGCUGGCUGACUGACCAGGGAGGAAUAAGAUGACCUUCUGUCUAACCUCUGACCUCUCCAACCCAGCUCUCCCACAGACAGGCUGACGUGUGUGUGUGUGUGUGUGUGUGUGUGUGUGUGUGUGUGUGUGUGUGUGUGUGUGUGUGUGUGUGUGUGUGUGUGUGUGUGUGUGUGUGUGUGUGUGUGUGUUCUCCAUCAACACAUCUUCCAACAGCCCUAACCAGUAGGAAAGCUCAAUAUUCACUUUAGUUUUGACCACAACUCUGUCACGCUUGCUCAAGUCACCCCUUAGUUAGCACUGAUCUAGGAUCAGCUUACACUCCCCAUAUCCAAACCUAAACCAUUAGUGGAGGGGGACUCUAAACAGACCGUAGCUCAGUGUCUGGGAGAAACUCCACUUUUCCCUGAACAUGUUGAUACUUUAGCAGGACUAGUAGUAACUAUGACUACAUCCUUUAGUAGCAGUGAGCCAAGCAGCUCUACAGCCAGGUGAGUUAGAGAGACAUCAUGUAGCUGUCUAUGCACUUUGACCUCUGGGAUAUCCAGAGGGUAGAAUAGCCAUAUUGAGGUCUCAGUGAUGCCCGGUUCAAUACACCAGCGAGACUCUGUGUGACUGACUGUUUCUCUGUAGAGAGACUGACUGCAUGGCAGUGACUGUUUCUCUGUAGAGACUGACUGCAUGGCAGCGACUGUUUCUCUGUAGAGAGACUGACUGCAUGGCAGUGACUGUUUCUCUGUAGAGACUGACUGCAUGGCAGUGACUGUUUCUCUGUAGAGACUGACUGCAUGGCAGUGACUGUUUCUCUGUAGAGACUGACUGCAUGGCAGUGACUGUUUCUCUGUAGAGACUGACUGCAUGGCAGUGACUGUUUCUCUGUAGAGACUGACUGCAUGGCAGUGACUGUUUCUCUGUAGAGACUGACUGCAUGGCAGUGACUGUUUCUCUGUAGAGAGUGACUGCAUGGCAGUGACUGUUUCUCUGUAGAGACUGACUGCAUGGCAGUGACUGUUUCCCUGUAGAGACUGACUGCAUGGCAGUGACUGUGCCUAAUGGUGGGGCUCCACAGGGUGCUCCUUAAAAAGCUUUAAACAUGUACCUUUCAGAUGUCUGUUACUACAACAUUGUUCAGCUCCAGUUUGGCUCACUGUGAAAGGUAGCUAACUAAAUGAAUAAGGUCAACUUGAAACAUGCAUUCGCUUUUUCUCCAGUGUGUUGCACAAAGGUUUUGUAGAAAGGCUCGGACAGUGGGUUUGAGAGGUGUGAUAAUAACUGAUCUUAUGAAAGGUUGAACAUGUAUUAAGGCCUUCCUGUAUUACAAAAAAGUGAAACACCUACAAAGCGCCUUAUUUCAUCAACUUUGUAUUUUCUUUUGAAUCUCUAAACGUUGUGGCUUAUUACUUUCACCAACUACUUGAGUAUUUAACUGUUCUGAAAUAAAACAUGUUGCAUCAUGGGGAAUAUAUGGCAUUGACCUCAACAUAUUCAACUGGAAUUGUUGUUUGAUGUUUUGUUGGAAUGACAGCUAAUAGUCUGGUGUUUCUAACAGUGGACAGACACAGGUCAAGCAUAAGGAAGACAGGUUAGUCUGACUGUACAGGCAGACAUAAGAGACAGGUUAGUCUGACUGUACAGGCAGACAUAAGAGACAGGUUAGUCUAACUGUACAGGCAGACAUAAGAGACAGGUUAGUCUGACUGUACAGGCAGACAUAAGAGACAGGUUAGUCUAACUGUACAGGCAGACAUAAGCGACAGGUUAGUCUAACUGUACAGGCAGACAUAAGCGACAGGUUAGUCUAACUGUACAGGCAGACAUAAGAGACAGGUUAGUCUAACUGUACAGGCAGACAUAAGAGACAGGUUAGUCUAACUGUACAGGCAGACAUAAGAGACAGGUUAGUCUAACUGUACAGGCAGACAUAAGAGACAUGUUAGUCUAACUGUACAGGCAGACAUAAGAGACAGGUUAGUCUAACUGUACAGGCAGACAUAAGAGACAGGUUAGUCUAACUGUACAGGCAGACAUAAGAGACAGGUUAGUCUAACUGUACAGGCAGACAUAAGAGACAUGUUAGUCUAACUGUACAGGCAGACAUAAGAGACAGGUUUGUGAGUUCAGGAUGAGUGUCUGUGGGUUUCUGGGAGAGAGGUGGAGGACAAUGCCUGCACAUUAAUACAAGUAUAAAUGUAUCAUUUUAAAUAUAAAACUAUAAAUAUUGUAUAGAAUGUCAUUCAUUUUUAUAAUCUUGACUGUACAUGUAAUGCAACCACCUUUCUUUUUGAAAGGAGUCUUUGAUGUUUUGUACAUGUAUGUAAAUGAUGUUUGCUUAGCAGUUGUUUGCAGCCUUCUCAAUGUAUGUUCGUCAAGGUUCAUUUCCGCGCUUCGAUACGUGUCCACGGUUUAUUAUACGUCAUGGAUUGAUGAAUUCAUAAUUGCCUGCAUAACUUUGUACAUGUUUGUGUCUCUCAUCACAGCAUAUUGUAUGGUCUGCGUUUUGUUUAGCAGUUGUA
rnacentral:lncRNA from 1 species